rnacentral:rRNA from 1 species
CCCUUAGAUGUCCUGGGCCGCACGCGCGCUACACUGAGUGUCUGAGAUACGAGUCUGCCUGGUCCGGCAAGGUCUAGGUAAUCGCUAAAAGACACAUCAUGCUUGGGAUAGAUUAUUGCAAAUAUUAAUCUUGAACGAGGAAUUCCUAGUAAGCGCAAGUCAACAGCUUGCGUUGAUUACGUCCCUGCCCUUUGUACACACCGCCCGUCGCUCCUACCGAUUGGACGAUCCGGUGAAUACCAUGGACUGAGAGUAUGAAUGGGUUCGCUUAUUUCUGCUUCUCGGGAAGUGGAGUAAAUCUUAACAUUUAGAGGAAGGAGAAGUCGUAACA